UACGUAGGGUGCAAGCGUUGUCCGGAAUUAUUGGGCGUAAAGAGCUCGUAGGCGGUUUGUCGCGUCGGAUGUGAAAACCCGGGGCUUAACCCCGGGCCUGCAUUCGAUACGGGCUGACUAGAGUACGGCAGGGGAGACUGGAAUUCCUGGUGUAGCGGUGAAAUGCGCAGAUAUCAGGAGGAACACCGGUGGCGAAGGCGGCAUCCUGGACCGAUACUGACGCUGAGGAGCGAAAGCCAGGGGAGCAAACGGG
rnacentral:rRNA from 1 species